AGUGGGCCAGGCAGCAGCAAACCGGACGGAAUGCUCAGCAACCCUUUCUGCUUUGUAAUACAGGUUGAUGAUUACUGAUCAGCUUACUCCUACAGCAGUGAUGACCGGUUCUUAUUGCUGCUGCCCUGCCCACAUUUUUUUAAAGAUAAUUUUGUGCGCCUUUCUUCUGUUGUCACAAACUUGUUGGUAUGUGGUAAUAUCGAGUCGAAUCCAGGUCCCACUGAAAAGAAUCUGCUUACGCAGCUAUUAGCCGGCCAAAAUAAAAUUAGUGCUACCGUAGAAAAUAUUGAAGCCAAUUAAAAGAAAUUAGAGAGCAAGAUUACUACCCUAACUCAAAGGAUAAAUGGAAUAGAACAGCAGCUUUCAAGCCUUAAGAAAUUACCAACUCAAGUAAAUGACAUGGAGAAGGUUAUUUCACAUCAGGCUGCUGCAUUAG